rnacentral:tRNA from 1 species
UGGGUUGUGGCUCAGUGGUAGAGUGCUCGCCUUGUAGGUGCGAGACCCUUGGGUUCGAUCCUCAGCACCACAU